AGUCAACAAUUCCGACGCGAGUGCGCCGAAUACAUUAUUUCAUUCGCUUUACGCUUCGGCUGCUCCUUCAAUCUCUUGUUCUUCCUGUUGCGCCAUGUUUUUUUACUCUUCCUGCUGCACUCUAGUCGCUAUUGACUUCAGGCGUACAGAGAGAUUGAAAUAGUAGGACCUGGAUUAACCAUCCGACCUCACAGUUUCUCUUCUUUUGAUUCUUGAAGAGGUCCUCCACUCUAGGCUUUUCAUAUAGCUGCAUGGAGUUACAUAAUUGAAACGUAUAACGGAUAAUGAUAUCGACUUGUUGUUCAUCCGAAAUAUCAACCUAAUUAGACGAUAUUAUUCCAAGGACUAGUGGAACCGAUUAUGUAAUGAAAUGCAAACAGUCUUCUUAUCGUUGUGUGUAAAUAUAUUAGUUUUUUUUUUUUUUUUUCACUAAAGCCCAACUAAUUAUCUCUAAAUGUCUGUACACGAUAAAAAUGUAUAAUCUGAAGGUCUCGUUUAUAUUAACAGGUUAAGUGCGGCGCCGAUUUUGCUGUCCUUUCCGUUCGACUGGCAGCGAACGAGCGAAGCUUAUCGUCAAUACCCGCAAAUCAACGCCGCCCGAACUAACCCUGGGGACUGACGCCGGCCGCACGCUAAGUUCACUGUCAGUAACCAUGGACUGACGUCGCGCUCAACGUGUUAAUUAGUCAUAGGAAGAGGACUCUUCGAAAACACGUUUCAGUUGUCGGCAGAUUAUACGUUACGUUUCAAUUGUCCUUGGAGAAUAUUUUUUAGAUCAUUCAAGUGUAAUGACGUUUGUUUCACGGAGAAAUUAAUAUUUGAUCAAAAUUGGAAACUGUUUGUUAUAAACUUCUAUGUGGUUCCAUGAAAUUUCUACAGGUUUUUCAUCGAUGUUAAUAUUAACAUCACGGGAAGUUACUCGAGAAUUAUUAAUAUCAGGACACCCUUACUUUUUUUAGACUGUGAGAUUUUUAUAAUAUAUUAAUGAUAUAGGGUUUACAUUUUCAAUCCAUUCUUCAUCUUCUUCUGGAACUACUUCGCUCCAUGAGGGUAAAAUCUGUUAGACAGUACAUCGUGUUACAUUAUCUAUGGAAGGACUCUGUAUCCACUGAAUAAUUGAAAGCAUUACCACUACGUAUUCAUAGAUGGCGCCACAUAUUCUAUCUAAGAAACACUGCCGCCAAGAGUAUCCAGCACAAGUGAAAUUCAAAUUAAGCACGUCGUAAGAGGAUACUUUUUAACAGAGAUCAUUCAACGAUGUCUGCGUGACAAUAUCAGAACCUAAAAAAGAAAGUGCAAAAAUACGCUCCUUAUAAAGUUCUAAUUGCGAAGAAUCGCUGGAGGCAACGGCACUGACGAACAUAGAUAUUGUAAAAGUUCUGUCUCACCUGAAAAUAUGUCUGAAAGUUUUCUACAGGUCAGCCUGCAGCAGUUUUAAAUUUCUUGCUACAGUGGCGUCUAUUCUGUGUACAUGACGCCCGUCCACGACUACCGUAGCAUAAUCGUUCCGCAUUUCACAACUAAAAAGUUCAAACAAACAUUGCUUCUGCGGAUA